UGGGGAAUAUUGGACAAUGGGCGAAAGCCUGAUCCAGCAAUGCCGCGUGAGUGAAGAAGGCCUUCGGGUUGUAAAGCUCUUUUACCCGGGAAGAUAAUGACUGUACCGGGAGAAUAAGCCCCGGCUAACUCCGUGCCAGCAGCCGCGGUAAUACGGAGGGGGCUAGCGUUGUUCGGAAUUACUGGGCGUAAAGCGCACGUAGGCGGCUUUCCAAGUCAGGGGUGAAAGCCCGCGGCUCAACCGCGGAAUUGCCCUUGAGACUGGAUCGCUUGAACACGGGAGAGGUGAGUGGAAUUCCGAGUGUAGAGGUGAAAUUCGUAGAUAUUCGGAAGAACACCAGUGGCGAAGGCGGCUCACUGGACCGUAGUUGACGCUGAGGUGCGAAAGCGUGGGGAGCAGACAGGAUUAGAUACCCUGGUAGUCCACGCCGUAAACGAUGAAGACUAGCUGUCAGGGUGCUUAGCACUUUGGUGGCGCAGCUAACGCAUUAAGUCUUCCGCCUGGGGAGUACGGCCGCAAGGUUAA
rnacentral:rRNA from 1 species